AGAGUUUGAUCCUGGCUCAGGAUGAACGCUAGCUACAGGCUUAACACAUGCAAGUCGAGGGGAAACGACAUCGAAAGCUUGCUUUUGAUGGGCGUCGACCGGCGCACGGGUGAGUAACGCGUAUCCAACCUGCCCACCACUUGGGGAUAACCUUGCGAAAGUAAGACUAAUACCCAAUGACGUCUCUAGAAGACAUCUGAAAGAGAUUAAAGAUUUAUCGGUGAUGGAUGGGGAUGCGUCUGAUUAGCUUGUUGGCGGGGUAACGGCCCACCAAGGCGACGAUCAGUAGGGGUUCUGAGAGGAAGGUCCCCCACAUUGGAACUGAGACACGGUCCAAACUCCUACGGGAGGCAGCAGUGAGGAAUAUUGGUCAAUGGACGAGAGUCUGAACCAGCCAAGUAGCGUGCAGGAUGACGGCCCUAUGGGUUGUAAACUGCUUUUAUAAGGGAAUAAAGUGAGUCUCGUGAGACUUUUUGCAUGUACCUUAUGAAUAAGGACCGGCUAAUUCCGUGCCAGCAGCCGCGGUAAUACGGAAGGUCCGGGCGUUAUCCGGAUUUAUUGGGUUUAAAGGGAGCGUAGGCCGGAGAUUAAGCGUGUUGUGAAAUGUAGACGCUCAACGUCUGCACUGCAGCGCGAACUGGUUUCCUUGAGUACGCACAAAGUGGGCGGAAUUCGUGGUGUAGCGGUGAAAUGCUUAGAUAUCACGAAGAACUCCGAUCGCGAAGGCAGGUAUCCGGGGUGCAACUGACGCUGAGGCUCGAAAGUGCGGGUAUCAAACAGGAUUAGAUACCCUGGUAGUCCGCACAGUAAACGAUGAAUACUCGCGAUUUGCGAUACACAGUAAGUCGCCAAGCGAAAGCGUUAAGUAUUCCACCUGGGGAGUACGCCGGCAACGGUGAAACUCAAAGGAAUUGACGG
rnacentral:rRNA from 1 species